UUUUUUUUUUUUUUAGUUUUUUAAGCUUAGUUUUGUUCACAUAAUAGUCACAAAGGAUAGGGGGGGCAGUGUUAAUUUUCAUUUGUGUAAACUCCAAAAAAAAAGGAUCCUAACAACUAUUUUGGGUUUUAUCAUUUACUUCACACAGAAUGAGUAAAAAACAAAAUAGCUGAAUCCUCUAACGACCCUAGUAUCUUGUGAAGGCUAAUGAAGUUCUUAGCUGUGGGAUUUUGAACAGUGAAAACAGCAACGGAAUUUUAGCCUAAUUUAACCCUUUCUCACGAGCACUAAUGAGGUCUGCUGAACUGUUGUUAGUCACUGGAGAGAGCAAGGGUCAGGAUCAUGAAGACAGCGUCUUUGAGACGUGCUAACGAGCUAUGACAGGAUUUAUUGCCAUUGAGUUUCUGCACUGUUAAUCUUUGGUAAAUUAAUGGGUAUUUACAAAAUACUUAACAAUAUAACUGAAAAUAUGUAAUGGAUAACCUAAAGUAGGACAUUCACAUAUCAUCUAGAAAUACUUUUCUGCAACAUAAACCUUGUAAAAUACAUAUAUGAAUCACUAUAACUUUUAGCUGUCUAUAUGUCCCUUGUAGAGAAUCCUAACGAGCAAUAGACCUCAGAGAAUGAGGACUGCUGUAGAAAUCAGUAGAGCACUUGGAAUCUGACUGGCGAGCAUGUGUAUGCUGCUCAAUGGAAUGCUGUGCUGUUCCCUUGAAGUACAGCUGAGCUGUUAUUAGAACUGGUCCACUCAAGUCACACAGAACAUAGGUCAUGCCUUAUCUAUGGGGAAAGCCUUCCCAGACUUACCUAAGCUUACCUAGGCCAUAUAAUCCUCUGCAGUGGCCUCACCUCAGAGAAUGAAGAAUGGUCAAAUUCUUCAGAACUCUCUGCAGUCUUCCAAGGCCAUGGAUGUUGGGGGCUACCCUACCCAGACUUAAGGGGUCAGAUAAUCCUGAUAUCUCCCAUUCCGCUGAAUCAGCACGCAGGAGGUUGAGAGCAAGACACACCUCUGUGGUAAUCAAGUCUCAGGCACUUGGAAAUGGCAGAAAGCCUAAUUCCUCAAUCUUACACAUCCUUGGAGAUAAUGCAGCCCACAGGUACAUAGUGGUUAACAACAGGCUCUUGUCCCCCACUGAUAACAUGGGGACAAGGGGACCUGGUGACCUCCUUUGCCUCUAACAGCAGCACUGUUUCUGAGGGUUGGGGAGAUAGAAUAUGGAAGGACAGGGCUCUGUCCCUUACAGACAGGACUCAGAAGCAUCCACAAAGCCAGAUGCUCUGUCCUCAUGUGUGCAGACAUUAGCCCCACUUACAUUUCUAAAUAAUUUUUAUAUUAACAUGACUGUCAACAUUGCCUUCAGAAGUCUGCUUGCCCUACAAGUAUUUUUUUUUCCUGUGAACUAAGAUCCUGGAAAGCUGGAACUCAAAAGAUUCUUACUGUUAAAACUUCCAGAAUAGGAGGGAGGGAGAGCACACCCUGCCCUUCCAGCCCCAGGAUGGGCAAAACUCAGAACAGUUCAAGCAGCCAUUCCUGUUCAAUGGGUUUAGUAGAUGGAAAGCCAAGGCUGGAAGGUUAUCAGAGGACUCCUGUUUCUCGCACCAAAUGUUGUGUUGUCUCCAUGAAGAAGGCUUAGUGUGGUUUGGGGUAGGCAAAAAAAAAAUAAUAAUAAUAAAAUAAAUAAAAAAAUAUUUAAACACCCAGAACAAACAAGGACAUGAUUCAAGGUGACCUUGUAUACUGUAGCACUUUGCUGUUAACCCCAGUAUGUAUCUGCAUUUAUCAUUUGCUCAUCUACGUCCACCUACAUACAGUAUUAUAUACUAGAGGAGAUGGGGAACUGCAAGCAAACUGAGCUUUGUUUUGUCCGUUGUAUAUAUGUACACCCACAUCAUUUGAGUUUUGUUGAGAGAGUCACAAAGGGCUUAUGAAAAUCACUUUUGAAUUAAUAACUAGAUGACAAGCAAUCCUGUGAUCCACUAAUUUGUUUUAUCUCAGUUAUAAUUAUAAAAAAUUAUAGGUUUAAGUUGUUUUGAUUUAACUACAAAAAUAAUUAUAUGUAUGGAUGUCUCCUGGCCCUUAUAUGUGGAUAUUUUUUAAGUGGACUUGUAUGCUGAUAAUUCUAGACCAAAGUAAAUAUGGCAGAAUAUUUAUACAUACAAAUAAUUUUGCAAAUAUUUUCUAUAAUUGUAUUAUUCGUUUAAAAUGUUGAUAGCUUGUGUUAGUUUCAGGGAGGGGUGUAUAUUUUGAUAAAAUACUUGACUUUGUAUUUCUGUACAUUCUAUACAAUUUAUAGAAGAGCCAUUUUAAGACAACUGGUGACGUUUUUGUUGUUGUUGAUUGUAUAAAUGUUAUGACUGGUGUUUAAGUUUGCAUCGAGUACGUAAAGACCAAGUAGAACUGAAGUGUAAACAGUGGACAUACUGUAUGCCAUACGAGAUAUACUGUAACUCACUGUCUUCGCAUCUGUAUUUUGGUUAGGAAAUAUGAUUAAAUGCAGAUGUUAAGGGUUGGAAAGGUCUAAUUUUAUUUUUAGAGAUAAUGAAUAUAAAUUUGUUUUGCUUGAUUAAAAUAGCUUAUUCCU
rnacentral:lncRNA from 1 species